rfam:Octopus bimaculoides Scaffold70578_contig_30, whole genome shotgun sequence.
GCCUCGGUAGCGCAGUAGGCAGCGCGUCAGUCUCAUAAUCCAAAGCUAACACCCGAGCCAUCUGAAGGUCGUGAGUUCGAUCCUCACCCGGGGCA